UACGUAGGGUGCAAGCGUUGUCCGGAAUUAUUGGGCGUAAAGAGCUCGUAGGCGGCCUGUCGCGUCGGGAGUGAAAGCCCACUGCUUAACGGUGGGUCUGCUUUCGGUACGGGCGGGCUAGAGUAUGGCAGGGGAGACUGGAAUUCCUGGUGUAGCGGUGGAAUGCGCAGAUAUCAGGAGGAACACCGGUGGCGAAGGCGGGUCUCUGGGCCAUUACUGACGCUGAGGAGCGAAAGCGUGGGGAGCGAACAGG
rnacentral:rRNA from 1 species